UUUAGUUUUUGUGGGCGUUCGGUGGAUGCCUUGGUAUCAAGAGCUGAUGAAGGACGUAGCGGCCUGCGAUAUGCCUCGGGGAAUUGGCGAGCGAGUGUUGAUCCGAGGGUGUCCGAAUGGGGAAACCCAGUCACAGUUGUGUGUGGCUACCAGCACCUGAGUUUUGUAGGGUGUUGGGGGGAACGAGGGGAAGUGAAACAUCUUAGUACCCUCAGGAAAAGAUAUUCCGUGAGUAGUGGCGAGCGAAAGCGGAUGAUGGCUAAACCGUGUGUGUGUGAUACUCAGCGAGGGUUGCAUGUGCGGUGUUGUGGGGCAUGUCUUUCACAAGAGUCGCUGCUUUUGUGGGUGGAUGCGCGUGUGAGUUGAACAGUCUGGGAUGGCUGACCGGAGAGCGUGAUAGUCGUGUAAGUGUAAAUGCGUGGUGUCUGCUGGGUGUGUGCCCGAGUAGCGCGGGGCUCGUGGAAUCCUGCGUGAAUCUGCCAAGACCACUUGGUAAGCCUGAAUACUUCUUGAUAACCGAUAGUGUAUGAGUACCGUGAGGGAAUGGUGAAAAGUACCCCGGGAGGGGAGUGAAAUAGUUCCUGAAACCGGGCGCCUUUAAGCCGUCAGAGCCUGCGCCACGUUGUGUGGAGGAGCGGUGAUGGCGUGCCUUUUGAAGAAUGAGCCUGCGAGUUAGUGGCAUGUGGCUUGCUUAACCCGUUGUGGGGUAGGCGUAGCGAAAGCGAGUCUGAAUAGGGCGUUUAUGGUCGCGUGUUCUAGACCCGAAGCGGAGUGAUCUACCCAUGGCCAGGUUGAAGCAGUGGUAAGACGCUGUGGAGGACCGCACCCACCUAGGUUGAAAACUGGGGGGAUGAGUUGUGGGUAGGGGUGAAAGGCCAAUCAAACUCCGUGAUAGCUGGUUCUCCCCGAAAUGCAUUUAGGUGCAGCGUCGUAUGUGUCUGGUAGUGGUAGAGCACUGAUUGGUUGAUGGGCCCGAUGGGUUACUGAGAUCAGUUAAACUCCGAAUGCUAUCUAGUCUGAGUACGGCAGUGAGACUGUGGGGGAUAAGCUUCAUGGUCGAAAGGGAAACAGCCCAGAUCAUCAGCUAAGGCCCCUAAGUGUGUGCUGAGUGGGAAAGGAUGUGGAGUUGCACUGACAACCAGGAGGUUGGCUUAGAAGCAGCCACCCUUGAAAGAGUGCGUAAUAGCUCACUGGUCAAGUGAUUCCGCGCCGACAAUGUAGCGGGGCUGAAGUACACCGCCGAAGCUGUGACAAGAAAACAUUUAGUGUUUUGUUGGGUAGGGGAGCGUCCUGCAUGAGGUGAAGCUGCCGGGGAACCGUGUGGUGGAUUGUGUGGGAGUGAGAAUGCAGGCAUGAGUAGCGAAUGACAGGUGAGAAUCCUGUCCGCCGAUUGACUAAGGGUUCCAGGGUCAAGCUUAUCUUCCCUGGGUUAGUCGGGUCCUAAGGCGAGGCCGACAGGCGUAGUCGAUGGAUAACCAGUUGAUAUUCUGGUACCGGUAUAAAACCGCCAAACGCUGCUUACAAAGGAAAUGGGCCCCACGCGAGCUGGAUUACUUUCUUCGGAUUGUUUUGUGGCGGACGUGCGGCUUGUGGGUGUUGUUUGUGGUGAGCGUAGUAACAGGGGUGACACAGAGUGGUAGCAGUCGCACACCGAUGGUUGUGUGUGUCUAAGCGUGUGGCCUAUUCCCUAGGUAAAUCCGGGGAUGUGUGGGUGAGGCGUGAUGGGAAUCCAUUCAUUUGGGUUUGAUUGUGAGCCUGUGCUGUCUAGAAAAACCUCGACGUGAGGGUUUAUACCGCCCGUACCCUAAACCGACACAGGUAGUCAGGUAGAGUAUACCGAGGCGACGAGAGAAUCAUGGUUAAGGAACUCGGCAAAUUGCCCCCGUAACUUCGGAAGAAGGGGGACCCACGAAGCGUGAAACACUCUUUGCAGUGUGAUGUGCGUUGGUGGGUCGCAGAGGAUAGAGAGAAGCGACUGUUUAUCAAAAACAUAGGUGUGUGCGAAGCCGUAAGGCGAUGUAUACGCACUGACGCCUGCCCGGUGCUGGAAGGUUAAGAGGAACGCUCAACAAUACUUUGUGUUGUGAAGGUGUGAAUUGAAGCCCCAGUAAACGGCGGUGGUAACUAUAACCAUCCUAAGGUAGCGAAAUUCCUUGUCGGGUAAGUUCCGACCUGCACGAAUGGCGUAACGACUUCUCUGCUGUCUCAACCAUGAACUCGGUGAAAUUGCACUACGAGUAAAGAUGCUCGUUACGCGCAGAAGGACGGAAAGACCCCGGGACCUUUACUAUAGCUUGGUAUUGGUGUUCGCUGAUGUUUGUGUAGGAUAGGUGGGAAACUAUGAAGCCGGCACGCCAGUGUUGGUGGAGUUAUUGGUGAAAUACCACUCUGAUAUUAGUGUGCAUCUAACCUCGAAUCCUGAUCGGGUUUAGGGACAGUGCCUGGUGGGUAGUUUAACUGGGGCGGUUGCCUCCUAAAAAGUAACGGAGGCGCUCAAAGGUUCCCUCAGCCUGGUUGGUAACCAGGUAUCGAGUGUAAGUGUAAAAGGGAGCUUGACUGCGACACAGACAUGUGGAGCAGGGACGAAAGUCGGAACUAGUGACCCGGCCAUGGCUUGUGGAAGCGUGGUCGCUCAACGGAUAAAAGGUACCCCGGGGAUAACAGGCUGAUCCUGCCCAAGAGUCCAUAUCGACGGCAUGGUUUGGCACCUCGAUGUCGGCUCGUCGCAUCCUGGGGGUGUAGUCGCUCCCAAGGGUUGGGCUGUUCGCCCAUUAAAGCGGUACGCGAGCUGGGUUCAGAACGUCGUGAGACAGUUCGGUCCCUAUCCUCUGCGCGCGUAGGAAACUUGAGGAGACCCGCCCCUAGUACGAGAGGACCGGGGUAGACGAACCUCUGGUGUGCCAGUCGUCCUGCCAAGGGCGCCGCUGGUUAGCUACGUUCGGAAUGGAUAACCGCUGAAAGCAUCUAAGCGGGAAGCCAUCUCCAAGACCAGGUUUCCAACACACCCAGUGUGUGAAGGCCCCCAGAAGACGACUGGGUAGAUAGGCCAGAAGUAGAAGCCCCGCAAGGGGUUCCAAGCUGACUGGUACUAAUCGGCCAACACUAAACAACAAACAAA
rnacentral:rRNA from 1 species